CUGCGGCAGGCGGCCGCGGCUUGAGCCGAGCGGUGCGCGAGCGCGCGCGGGAGGCGGAUGCGGAGCGCGCGGAGCGGGGAGGUGCGGUGCAGGCGGGCCGCGGGAGCCGGAGGGGAGCGCGGCGCAGCCGUGCGGGGCGCGAGUGAGCGGUCCCACACGGGCGCGCGCGGCUCGUGGGCGUGCAGGCGCGCAAGCGCUGGUAGCAAGCGGAGCAAAGCUGGGGUGCUAGACUGGUGCGGUGCUGGAACAGGAGCAGAGCAGGGAGCUUGAGGAGGCUGGACAGCGCGGAGAGACCUGCGGCGCGGUAAGACCGGGGCGAACGCGUGUCCAACAGCCGGAAGAGGAGGAGCAGUUGCGCGGCACGCAAGACAAUGACGUACAGGUGUGCGUGUGAGGAUGCGGGACCGGCGGCGCGAAGUGGAACGGUCUGUGCGAGCUUGAGCGCGAAGCUCGCGGUGCUGGAACGCGCAGGCACACGUAUGUGGAGGUGUCGACGAGGCUGUCGACGAUGACGCAGGAGCGGAGCUCAGGGCUCGCGAUGCCGCGGCGCGACGGCUCGGCCCGGACCCGCACGGGGAAAACAAUGGAGCCGCGCGUGAAGGACGUCGGAGAUCGUUGAGGAGGAAGCCACGGACGAAGUCAAGCGGCACUGCGAACUGCUCGUGGAGAACUGAGGUGGCCUGGCACGGACGGCAGCGGAAGGUGUGAUCCUGAUGCAGGCAGGCCUCGGUCCUCGUGGAGGCAGAGGAACGGUUAUGGCGUGACGAGCCAGAAAGAAAGGCGGCGAAGCGGACGUGGUGACCGGAUGCAACGAGCUCGGAGGAGCCACGCACGGCGAGCUCCCUCCACCCAUGCAGAGGCCGAAGCAAAAGCAGCGCGACACGGGACUGACGGCCAACUCAGUUCGUUUCCGCAGGCGCCUGCGCGUGCAAGGCAAUAGACCACGCGCGAGCAGGUUAAGAGCCAGUGGUGUGGGAGCAGUACAAGAAUAGCGCGCAGGAGAUGCGACCAGACACGGUGAUCCUGCAGGAGGCUACGCGGGUAUGCCGGAUGUGUUUCAGCAACACACGUGCGUGAGCAGAGAAGGCUCAGCUCGUGAGUAGGAGGAUCUUGAGGUUCGCGGAGGAGUUGGCAUAGCGAACCCAUCCGGCCCUAUCGUUUCAUCCCAGGGAUCCACGGCAACCAUUUCUGGCGAACUCCUUCGUUAUCCACGGAAUCUCGUCAUCAUCGAGCUUUUCUCUUCGUCGAUCCUGUUCGCCACGGGAAAUGACUUUUCACCCGUUCUUCUCCAUAACCAAGGCUACCCCAAGGUUUGCCCUGAUCCACUGAAUCUUCCUAGUGCCGGCGACCCCUUUGCCGGAACAUCGUCGUUAUCUUCCUGUUCUCUGUUUUUCCCCGACCAGGGACUUAAUUGCUUCAAUUUAGAAAGUUCUAGGGUGUUUUCUAUAAGAUUUCCAGAACUUUCUUUAUUUCAAAUCAAUGAACGUUUACAAGUUUUAUGUUAUGAUCUUGAAUUGGAAUCUUUGAUUUGUGAUCUAGAUUGAAUACUAGGAAAUGAAUGCUUUAUUUUAUACCUUGAAUCGUAUACAUGUAUUGUAGCUAAAGGGUUAAUCAUAGGAUAAAUGUCUUAGGCAGAAAGGUGUGAGGUCUAGUUAAUCCUUUCACACGAGUGUUCCUAUCUCUGCCAUCAAGACAUUGUCCUUGUCUUGAUUUCAGUCUUCUUAAGAUCCUUUUCAUAUAAGAAUCUUUGAUAGUUCAUGUGCAUCUGUUGCUUAGCCAAUACAUCUUGGUAGCUAUACUUCAGUAUCGGCUGUCAGCUCAGCUGCUAAGCAUCGUUUAUUUUAAGUCUAAGAUGUUUUUGUGUAACAGCUGUCAGCCGAUGCACUUCUUUUGAUAUGCUUCUACCAUCGACUGGUUAAUUGAUACGGUUGUUAUCUUUCUAAUAUCGGCUACUGCCGAUACAACUCUUUGUUUUGUCCUACAUCGGCUGCACAUAGUCGAUGUAUUGGAGAUGCACACACGAUAUUAAGAUUCUUACUAUCGACCGAUCCAAGCCGAUUUUGGUUGCUUUUCCAUAUCGGUUAAACACGGCCGAUCAAUCCUUAGUUUCCCCAUCCUUAUCCACAUACUUCUAUCAGUCGAUUUAUCGACUGAGAGAUCGGCUAUAUAUCUAUCGGUCAUAUACCCUUAACCACACUCCAUUCGGCUAUACGUCACCCAAUAGUUGUGCUGACGUAAUCGAGUCGAUACAACCACACCUAGUUACUUAGGAUAACACUUAAGCACAUCUCAGUUAAGACAACUGCUUUAGGAAUCACCCCUCUGUUGAGGUAAUCAAUGCUUUCAUCGAUCGUCUAGAAACCCGAUGCACUCAUCAAUCGGCUAAACCCCUGUUGUUCCAAUCGGCUCUGUUGUAAUCUUCAACGAGCAGCCGAUUCUAAUUAGUUAUUCCUCUAAAGCUCUGUCUAAGUUUAGUUUUAGAUCUUUUUGGUUGUUAGGUGAGUAGUAUGUUAAAUGAGUGUUGGAUUGCAACUUUAUUGUGAAGUAAGAUAGUUUUAUAUGCACACUUUGAAUGUAAUGUUGCAUUGCAUAUAGAUACGACUACUUCUGCAAAUGGUACCUACAAGAUCUCCCCGGAGUCUGCAGAGGAUGUUUCUGAAGACCAAGUCAACAUCACCAACGGAUUAACUGAAGCCCCGAACCAAAUUCGGAAGAUAAUAAUACUAACAUCCCUGACUUCAGCCCCACCAGUAAAGGCAAGCCCCGGACAUAUCCCAUUACUUUAUUUACACUACAAUCUACGUCUAUUUAUAUUAUAUCUUGCAUUAAGUCUAGGAGUUGAAGUGAAACCCUAGUUGCAUGAGAUCUUAGGAAUCCAAUGUAUUGCACCCGAGUCCUUAUCGUUUAGAUGCUCUGCUAAAUAGGACCGGUAAAAGUCGGGUGAUUUCCUAUCACUCGCGCGAUAUAGGAGUUGCUUGUUUACAAUUCUGUAACCACUAUAAGGUUGACGGACAGGGUCAUGUACUGUAUCAUGACCUGGAGUUUUACCCUGUCUGUUUUGACUAAAGCUGAUAAGGUCGCAGCAUGUGGUAGUGGUGUCUAAGCGUUUGAAAGUACAAGCCACAUACCGCGAAAUAUGGUAAGCGGUAAGCCUAGUACCCGAAUGGCCCGGCAAAUGGACUUGUCUCCACCACUCGACCUUUUAUUUUAUGUUUACACGCACCGACGUGUGGGAGUACGUUCUGCAUGGCAGACAGGAAUAUGGGUUUUGUAGUCGUGCUACAGACGUAUGUCCUGCACACAUAGGGUGUGCGUACGGUCCUGCAGUCGCUUGUGGUGGCCCUGAUCCAUAACCCGGAAUAUGAGGGAAAUGGUUGCUUCGGAAUGCCCUGUUGGUAUUCCAAGCGUGUGAGUUAGGUUUACCUUGCAAGGUUAAAUUCGAUUCGGAUCGUCCGCCUCUCACGAGGAUUGAGACUGCUUAUCCCUUUUACCACAGAGAGUAAAAAGUGAAAUUGUUGAUAAAGUAAUCUUGAUGAAUGAUAAUUUCUAUCUUGCUUGUUUAGUAUAGGUGCUUACCUAGAUGGCUAAUCAAACUAGAAUCUGAAAGCUAAAAUUUGAAAGUAGUUUAUACUCUUUGUUGCUUUUCAGCUGAAAAUAAACCCAGGACCUUUACAAUGCCUCCAUGAGUCUAGUUAUGGGCUAAAGUAUAUCCAAUCCCGGGUAAGCCUUGCUGAGUAUUAGUAUACUCAGCCUUGCUAGUUUUAUGUUUUUCAGGUGAAGCCUUUGAAGACCCUACUCUUUCCCUGUCAUGGCCCUGUGCUCUUCCAGAAGAUUGGUCCGUGGAAUGGGAUCCGUCCUCGGCCAACAUUGAUGAUAUCGAGUGAUGUCGUGCCAAGGCUUAGCAUGACAUCCGGCUUGACGACAUGCUAUAAAUCAUCGCGUAUGUUUUCCGCUGCUAAAAACCAUAACUUUAACAGUUUGUAAUGUUUUCUCUAAAUUUCAAACUUUGCACUAAUGUUAGAAACUCUUAUAAUGUAAUUCCUUGUGAUGUAAAAUAUGAUGGUGAUUGUAUCUCUGGACUCACCUUCGUGUGAGGUAACCUUAUUGAUCCUAUAUUCGGUGGUUUAUCAGGACGUUACCCGACAGGCCAAGGGAUUAUACCGUUUGAAGCACGUUGGAGCCCUCGGGAGUGGACUCGCGUACUUGAGCCAGUAUAAUUUAG
rnacentral:lncRNA from 1 species